UACAGAGGGGCAAGCGUUGUUCGGAAUUACUGGGCGUAAAGGCGCGUAGCGGCCUUCUAAGUCAGACGUGAAAUCCCCGUCGGCUCAACCGGGGAACUGCGUCGUGAGACUGGAAGGCUUGAAGUCCGGGAGAGGGAUGUGGAAUUCCAGGUGUAAGCGGUGAAAUGACGUAGAUAUCUGGAGGAACACCGGUGGCGAAGGCGGUCAUCCUGGACCGGUAUUGACGCGUGACGGGCGCGAAAAGCCAGGGGGAGCAAACGGGAUUAGA
rnacentral:rRNA from 1 species